GAGCCAGACUCCUACGGGAGGCAGCAGUGGGGGAUAUUGCACAAUGGGGGAAACCCUGAUGCAGCGACGCCGCGUGAAGGAUGAAGUAUUUCGGUAUGUAAACUUCUAUCAGCAGGGAAGAAAAUGACGGUACCUGAAGAAGAAGCCCCGGCUAACUACGUGCCAGCAGCCGCGGUAAUACGUAGGGGGCAAGCGUUAUCCGGAUUUACUGGGUGUAAAGGGGGCGCAGACGGCGAUGCAAGCCAGGAGUGAAAGCCCGGGGCCCAACCCCGGGACUGCUCUUGGAACUGCGUGGCUAGAGUGCAGGAGGGGCAGGCGGAAUUCCUGGUGUAGCGGUGAAAUGCGUAGAUAUCAGGAGGAACACCGGUGGCGAAGGCGGCCUGCUGGACUGCAACUGACGUUGAGGCCCGAAAGCGUGGGGAGCAAACAGGAUUAGAUACCCUAGUA
rnacentral:rRNA from 1 species